UACGUAUGGGGCUAGCGUUGUCCGGAUUUAUUGGGCGUAAAGAGCGUGUAGGCGGCCAUGUAGGUCCGGUGUGAAAACUCGAGGCUUAACCUCGAGAUGUCAUCGGAAACCAUUUGGCUAGAGUCCGGAAGAGGAGAGUGGAAUUCCUGGUGUAGCGGUGAAAUGCGCAGAUAUCAGGAAGAACACCAAUGGCGAAAGCAGCUCUCUGGGACGGUACUGACGCUGAGAUGCGAAAGCGUGGGGAGCAAACAGG
rnacentral:rRNA from 1 species